rnacentral:rRNA from 1 species
GACGAACGCUGGCGGCGUGCUUAACACAUGCAAGUCGAACGGAAAGGCCCUGCUUUUGUGGGGUGCUCGAGUUGCGAACGGGUGAGUAACACGUGAGUAACCUGCCCUUGACUUUGGGAUAACUUCAGGAAACUGGGGCUCAUACCGGAUAGGAGCUCCUGCUGCAUGGUGGGGGUUGGAAAGUUUCGGCGGUUGGGGAUGGACUCGCGGCUUAUCAGCUUGUUGGUGGGGUAGUGGCUUACCAAGGCUUUGACGGGUAGCCGGCCUGAGCGGGUGACCGGCCACAUUGGGACUGAGAUACGGCACAGACUCCUACGGGAGGCAGCAGUGGGGAAUAUUGCACAAUGGGCGGAAGCCAGAUGCAGCAACGCCGCGUGCGGGAUGACGGGAUGCGGGUUGUAAACCGAUGUCGCCUGUGACGAAGCGUGAGUGACGGUAAUGGGUAAAGAAGCACCGGCUAACUACGUG